rnacentral:rRNA from 1 species
UAGGGAAUUUUCGUCAAUGGGCGCAAGCCUGAACGAGCAAUGCCGCGUGAGCGAAGAAGGUCUUCGGAUCGUAAAACUCUGUUGCGGGGGAAAAAGGAAGGAAAGAGGAAAUGCUUUUCUUUUGAUGGUACCCCGCCAGAAAGUCACGGCUAACUACGUGCCAGCAGCCGCGGUAAUACGUAGGUGGCAAGCGUUAUCCGGAAUGAUUGGGCGUAAAGGGUGCGCAGGCUGCGCGUCAAGUCUGAAGUGAAAGGUACGGGCUUAACCGGUACAGGCUUUGGAAACUGGCACGCUAGAGGACAGGAGAGGGCGGUGGAACUCCAUGUGUAGCGGUAAAAUGCGUAGAUAUAUGGAAGAACACCAGUUGCGAAGGCGACCGCCUGGACUGUUGCUGACGCUCAGGCACGAAAGCGUGGGGAGCAAAUAGG